rnacentral:rRNA from 1 species
GAUGAACGCUGGCGGCGUGCCUAAUACAUGCAAGUCGAGCGAACAGACGAGGAGCUUGCUCCUUUGACGUUAGCGGCGGACGGGUGAGUAACACGUGGGUAACCUACCUAUAAGACUGGGAUAACUUCGGGAAACCGGAGCUAAUACCGGAUAAUAUUUCGAACCGCAUGGUUCGAUAGUGAAAGAUGGCUUUGCUAUCACUUAUAGAUGGACCUGCGCCGUAUUAGCUAGUUGGUAAGGUAACGGCUUACCAAGGCAACGAUACGUAGCCGACCUGAGAGGGUGAUCGGCCACACUGGAACUGAGACACGGUCCAGACUCCUACGGGAGGCAGCAGUAGGGAAUCUUCCGCAAUGGGCGAAAGCCUGACGGAGCAACGCCGCGUGAGUGAUGAAGGUCUUCGGAUCGUAAAACUCUGUUAUUAGGGAAGAACAAACGUGUAAGUAACUGUGCACGUCUUGACGGUACCUAAUCAGAAAGCCACGGCUAACUACGUGCCAGCAGCCGCGGUAAUACGUAGGUGGCAAGCGUUAUCCGGAAUUAUUGGGCGUAAAGCGCGCGUAGGCGGUUUUUUAAGUCUGAUGUGAAAGCCCACGGCUCAACCGUGGAGGGUCAUUGGAAACUGGAAAACUUGAGUGCAGAAGAGGAAAGUGGAAUUCCAUGUGUAGCGGUGAAAUGCGCAGAGAUAUGGAGGAACACCAGUGGCGAAGGCGACUUUCUGGUCUGUAACUGACGCUGAUGUGCGAAAGCGUGGGGAUCAAACAGGAUUAGAUACCCUGGUAGUCCACGCCGUAAACGAUGAGUGCUAAGUGUUAGGGGGUUUCCGCCCCUUAGUGCUGCAGCUAACGCAUUAAGCACUCCGCCUGGGGAGUACGACCGCAAGGUUGAAACUCAAAGGAAUUGGCGGGGACCCGCACAAGCGGUGGAGCAUGUGGUUUAAUUCGAAGCAACGCGAAGAACCUUACCAAAUCUUGACAUCCUUUGACCCUUCUAGAGAUAGAAGUUUCCCCUUCGGGGGACAAAGUGACAGGUGGUGCAUGGUUGUCGUCAGCUCGUGUCGUGAGAUGUUGGGUUAAGUCCCGCAACGAGCGCAACCCUUAAGCUUAGUUGCCAUCAUUAAGUUGGGCACUCUAAGUUGACUGCCGGUGACAAACCGGAGGAAGGUGGGGAUGACGUCAAAUCAUCAUGCCCCUUAUGAUUUGGGCUACACACGUGCUACAAUGGACAAUACAAAGGGCAGCGAAACCGCGAGGUCAAGCAAAUCCCAUAAAGUUGUUCUCAGUUCGGAUUGUAGUCUGCAACUCGACUACAUGAAGCUGGAAUCGCUAGUAAUCGUAGAUCAGCAUGCUACGGUGAAUACGUUCCCGGGUCU